CGGGACGGGUGAGUAACACGUGAGCAACCUGGCUCUAAGAGGGGGACAACAGUUGGAAACGACUGCUAAUACCGCAUAACGUAUCGGGAUGGCAUCUUCCUGAUACCAAAGAUUUUAUCGCUUAGAGAUGGGCUCGCGUCUGAUUAGAUAGUUGGCGGGGUAACGGCCCACCAAGUCGACGAUCAGUAGCCGGACUGAGAGGUUGAACGGCCACAUUGGGACUGAGACACGGCCCAGACUCCUACGGGAGGCAGCAUG
rnacentral:rRNA from 1 species